ACGGCCGUACCACGCUGAAUAUACCGGUUCUCGUUAGAUCACCGAAGUCAAGCAUCAUUGGGCGCAGUCAGUACUUGGGUGGGUAACCACCUGGGAACACCGUGUGCCGUU
rnacentral:rRNA from 1 species